UACGGAGGGUGCAAGCGUUAAUCGGAAUUACUGGGCGUAAAGCGUGCGCAGGCGGCUUGCCAAGUCAGAUGUGAAAGCCCCGGGCUCAACCCGGGAACUGCGUUUGAAACUGGCAGGCUAGAGUUUGGCAGAGGGGGGUGGAAUUCCACGUGUAGCAGUGAAAUGCGUAGAGAUGUGGAGGAACACCGAUGGCGAAGGCAGCCCCCUGGGCCAAAACUGACGCUCAGGCACGAAAGCGUGGGGAGCAAACAGG
rnacentral:rRNA from 1 species